UCCUAAUCAGGCGUAAAGGGUGUGUAGGCUGCUUUCAAAAUCAUAUCUUUCAAAUAGCUAUUAUAACGAAGCUCUGUUUAAAUACAAUAUAUACCACUUUAAAUAUCUUCAAUAUAAGGUAAGAUCUGAUGAAUAAAAGCUAGAAUCAAAACGAGGAUAAUACAAAGAAUACUUAGAGUAGGGUCGAUAUCCUAAGAUACUAAGUGGAAUACUAAAGGUGAAAACUAUUUAUCUAGAAAUGAUUGACGCUGAGAAACGAAGGUGAGAAUAGGAAAUAGGAUUAGAUACCCAGAUACCUCUCACUGUUAAC
rnacentral:rRNA from 1 species